UCCCAAAAUUUACGCUAAGUGGAAAAGGAUGUGGAGACGCGCAAACAGCUAGGAGGUUGGCUCAGAAGCAGCCAUCCUUCAAAGAGUGCGUAACAGCUCACUAGUCGAGUAUCUCUGCGCCGAAAAUUAACCGGGGCUAAGCGUAAUACCGAAUCUAUGGAUUUAUACUUAGGUAUAAGUGGUAGGGGAGCGUUCCAUACAGCAUUGAAGGUAUACCGUAAGGAGUGCUGGAGCGUAUGGAAGUGAGAAUGCCGGUGUGAGUAGCGAGAUGUGGGUGAGAAUCCCACACACCGAAAAACCAAGGUUUCCAGGGGAAGGUUCGUCCGCCCUGGGUAAGUCGGGACCUAAGGCCAGGCCGAAAGGCGUAGUCGAUGGAUAGCAGGUUGAUAUUCCUGCACCCGCGAGUAAAGUGAUGGAGUGACAGAUAGGGUUAACCAGAGUCCUAAAUGGAUUGGGCAAGGCAAGCAGGAGAGUGGCGUAGGCAAAUCCGCGUCGGAUACUCAAAGGCUUGACUCAAGCGAACGCGCGAGCAAGUAGUGAAGAAGGUGAUACCAGGUCUCGAGAAAAGCUUCUAGCGAUAAUUUACUAGCGGCCCGUACCAAAACCGACACAGGUGGUUGAGGCGAGUAGCCUAAGGUGAGCGAGAGAACUGUUGCCAAGGAACUCGGCAAAUUGACCCCGUACGUUAGCAAUAAGGGGUGCUCGAAAGAGCCGCAGUGAAUAGGCCCUAGCAACUGUUUAACUAAAACAUAGCUCUCUGCGAAGUCGCAAGACGAAGUAUAGGGGGUGACACCUGCCCGGUGCUGGAAGGUCAAGGGGAUUUGUCAGACGCAAGUCAAAGCAUUGAACCGAAGCCCCAGUGAACGGCGGCCGUAACUAUAACGGUCCUAAGGUAGCGAAAUUCCUUGUCAGGUAAGUUCUGACCCGCACGAAAGGUGUAAUGAUUUGGGCACUGUCUCGGCAGCAGACUCGGUGAAAUCUUAGUACCUGUGAAGAUGCAGGUUACCCGCAACUAGACGGAAAGACCCCAUGGAGCUUUACUGUAGUCUGCUAUUGAGUUUCGGUUAAGUAUGCACAGGAUAGGUGGGAGACGAUGAGACUGGUCUUUCGGGAUCAGAGGAGUCACUGUUGGGAUACCACUCUUACUUAAUUGAAAUUCUAACUCUAAGCCGUGAUCCGGCUAGAGGACCGUGGCAGAUGGGCAGUUUGACUGGGGCGGUCGCCUCCCAAAGAGUAACGGAGGCGCACAAAGGUACUCUCAGAAUGGUUGGAAAUCAUUCAACGAGCGCAAACGCAGAAGAGUGCUUGACUGCGAGACAAACAAGUCGAGCAGGGACGAAAGUCGGUGUUAGUGAUCCGGCGGUGCAGAAUGGAAUGGCCGUCGCUCAACGGAUAAAAGCUACCCUGGGGAUAACAGGCUGAUCUCCCCCAAGAGUUCACAUCGACGGGGAGGUUUGGCACCUCGAUGUCGGCUCAUCGCAUCCUGGGGCUGUAGUCGGUCCCAAGGGUUGGGCUGUUCGCCCAUUAAAGCGGUACGCGAGCUGGGUUCAGAACGUCGUGAGACAGUUCGGUCCCUAUCUGUUGUGGGCGUUGGAAAUUUGAGGAGAGCUGCCCCUAGUACGAGAGGACCAGGGUGGACGUUCCUACGGUGCACCAGUUGUCACGCCAGUGGCAUAGCUGGAUAGCUGAGAACGGACCGGAUAAACGCUGAAGGCAUCUAAGCGUGAAACCGACUCCAAGAUUAGAUUUCCCAUCAUUUCAAAUGAAUAAGACCCCUUGA
rnacentral:rRNA from 1 species